rnacentral:rRNA from 1 species
CCCUUAGAUGUUCUGGGCCGCACACGCGCUACACUGAAGGAGUCAGCGUGUACUCCUGGAUCGAAAGAUUUGGGUAACCCGCGAAUCUCCUUCGUGCUAGGGAUUGAGGUUUGCAAUUAUCCUUCAUGAACGAGGAAUUCCCAGUAAGUGCAAGUCAUAAGCUUGCGCUGACUACGUCCCUGCCCUUUGUACACACCGCCCGUCGCUACUACCGAUUGAAUGAUUUAGUGAGGACUUCGGACUGGGACCGAUGCGGCUUUCGGGCUGCGUCGGUAUUCUGGAAAGAUGUCCAAACUGUAUCAUUUAGAGGAAGUAAAAGUCGUAACA